GUUGAUCCUGCGGAAGAUCGCUGCUAUUAGGAUUCGAUUAAGCCAUGCAAGUCCAGGCUCUCUUCGGAGAACCGGCAAAAUGCUCAGUAACACGUCGAUAAUCUAACCUUGAGUUCAGGAUAACCUUGGGAAACUGAGGAUAAUACUGAAUACGAGAAUUCGUCUGGAAUGAUUUUUCUCUUAAAAGCAAUGCUCAAGGAUGAGUCGGCGGCGGAUUAGGCUGUUGGCGGGGUAAUGGCCCACCAAACCGACGAUCCGUAGGGGCCCUGAGAGGGGUAUCCUCGAGAAGGACACUGAGAUAAUGGUCCUAGCCCCACGGGGUGCAGCAGGCGCGAAACCUUUACAAUGUACGAAAGUGUGAUAAGGGAAUCCUAAGUGCUGAUGUUUUGCAUCAGCUUUUUUUUAGAGUAAAAAUCUAGAAGAAUAAGUGGUGGGUAAGACUGGUGCCAGCCGCCGCGGUAUUACCAGCGCCACAAGUGGGGAUCAUAUUUAUUGGGCCUAAAGCGUCCGUAGCUGGUUUAACAAAUCUCUUGUGAAAUCGUGGAGCUCAACUUCACGGCGUGCAGGAGACACUAUUAGACUUGGAACCGGGAGGAGUCAGAGGAAUUCAUGGGGGAGCGGUAAAAUGCUAUAAUCCCUUGAAGACCACCUAUAGCGAAGGCAUCUGACUAGAACGGAUUCGACAGUGAGGGACGAAAGCCAGGGGAGCGAACCGGAUUAGAUACCCGAGUAGUCCUGGCCGUAAACGCUGCGAGUUAGGUGUUGUAUAUUCUUCGGGAAUAUGCAGUAUCGAAGCGAAGGCGCUAAACUCGCCGCCUGGGAAGUAUAGUCGCAAGGCCGAAACUUAAAGGAAUUGGCGGGGGAGCACUACAAGGGGUGCGGCGUGCGGUUCAAUCUAAUUCAACGCAGAAAGUCUCACCAGGAGCGACGGCAGGAUGAAAGUCAAGCUAAAGACUUUACUUGACAAGCCGAGAGGUGGUGCAUGGCCGCCGUCAGCUCGUGCCGCAAGGUGUCCUCUUAAGUGAGGUAACGAGCGAGACCUGUAUCCACAAUUGCCAUCGACUCUUUCAGAGGAUCGGGCACAUUGUGGGGACUGCCUUGGAAACAAGGAGGAAGGUGCAGGCUACGGUAGGUCUGUAUGCCCCGAAUCCCCUGGUCUACACGCGCGCAACAAUGGUAGGGACAAUGGGACACAACUCCGAAAGGAGAAGUUAAUCCUCUAAACCCUAUCUUAGUACAGAUUGAGGACUGUAACUCGUCCUCAUGACGAUGGAAUCCCUAGUAAUCGGACGUCAACAUCGUCCGGUGAAUAUGUCCCUGUUCCUUGCACACACCGCCCGUCAAAUCAACCGAGCAGGGUUUAGGUGAGGCCUGAUUUUUUGAUUAUGUCGAACCUAAGCUCAGUGAGGUGGGUUAAGUCGUCACAAGGUA
rnacentral:rRNA from 1 species